GCUGCAAGUGGCACCAAGUCACUCAAUGACAUGCAACAAGAACAACUGGACACAGCUUUAUACCUCCUGAGAGCAGUGUUAGGAGAAAGCAGGAGCAGACCCUGUCUUUAAUGUCCUGGUGGUGGACCAUUUCAAGUCCAUCCUCAAGAAGCACAUCUUAGCAACAGGGAUAUCAAUGAAGUUCUUGAGAGCAUCCCAGCUCUCUCUCUGUCUAAGAUGUCACAUCCCUCAUUACAUCUCAAUGUCCCUCUCAGCCUGCGCUCCCAGGCUCCAGAUACAGCUGCGAAGCCUCUAUUACAAACAUAUUCCUUUGCCGAUGCUGACCCCUCAUUGUUAUUUGUUUUAGACCCAGAUUGGCAAGUUCCCCCAAAAUAAACAAGUCAGUAUUUUGACUUAAAUUAUAUCAAAUCUACAGAUCAGUUGAUGGACCACUGCAAUUUUUAUGAUUUGGAGACUUCUGAUCCA
rnacentral:lncRNA from 10 species